GAUCAUGGCUCGGUGGUAGAGCAUCUACCUGGUAUGCAAAAGGUCCCAGGUCAAGCCUCUGCAUGUGUAAUCU
rnacentral:tRNA from 1 species